rnacentral:rRNA from 1 species
UACGGAGGGGGCAAGCGUUACUCGGAAUUAUUGGGCGUAAAGAGCGCGCAGGCGGUCGUUCAAGUCGAGUGUGAAAGCCCCCGGCUCAACUGGGGAGGGUCACUCGAUACUGAUCGACUUGAAGGCAGGAGAGGGAAGCGGAAUUCCCGGUGUAGUGGUGAAAUGCGUAGAUAUCGGGAGGAACACCAGUGGCGAAGGCGGCUUCCUGGCCUGUUCUUGACGCUGAGGCGCGAAAGCUAGGGGAGCAAACGGG